rnacentral:lncRNA from 1 species
ACACACACAUCUCUGCCGGAAGUGAUGUCACGGCAUGGGCGCCCGCCCACCGGAGGAGCGACUGGAGUUGAUCGGCUGGGCGCUCAGAACCUGGACAACUACCCUCAAUUGGUAACAUAUUUUGGUGAGCCAGCCAGAAGGAUCAAGUCUGUGAUACCUGAAGCCUCAGACCUGGAACCUGAAGUUUCCUUCAGCCACUACACCUGUGAACCUGUGGAAGACCUGAAGUGCCUGUUUAGAAGACAGCCAAAAGAUAAGUAAAUGCCUACCAACUUUCCUUGGUGUUUUUGUUGCAUAGUUAUUGUAGGUUGGAUAAUAAUAGCCAUAUUUUUAUAUAUUUGGCUGGAUAAUAAUAGCCAUAUUUUUAUAUAUUUUUGCAGUUUUUCUUUUUUCAAAUGUUUGGAAUCACUCCCUUUGUAGCAAUUAAGCAGAAUGUUUUAAUUUCUCCCUAUAACAAACAUUCCUGAUAGCAUAGGUAUCCACCCCCUGAAGUUCCCAUUAGAUCUUUUAACCAAAUUCAUUUCCUCUCACCUAGAGACCAUUGAGCUUCAUAUGAUCAUGCAACAACAUUGCCAGCCAGUUCCAAAUGAAGAUAGCACCCCCAGCGAUCAAUAAACUACCCUGCCUCCACUGGAUAGAGCAGGGAAAAAUUUCCAUGAUCAGCAAUAGGUAGGGAUUGCACCCCAAGUUAGCAUGAAGCAGCUACAGAAGAAAGACCAUCAAUCCCUCUGCUUCCCAUAAAGAUUUAUGGGAAUCACAUCUCUCAGGGGGAAUAUGAGGCAGGAAAAUAGGGUCUGGAAGCAGGGAACCUAAGGUUUAUUCAUGCUGACUGGAUAUCAGAGGCUACUCUCUUUACGACCUCUCCUUCUCUGUGGCAGUUGAAAAAUGAGACCAAUAUCCCUGAUGAACAUCAAUGCAAAAAUCCUCAAUAAAAUAUUGGCAAACAGAAUCCAGCAGCACAU